UGCGAGAUAAACGAAAAAGCCUCUUCAUCAAUAAUCAUGGAACGUCGAGGCGGAAAUACAGCUCCUGCUCCACCAUUUUCCUGGACGACAACACAGUCAGCCAGCCCAACCUCAAAUACACCAUCAAAUGUGUAGCUCUGGCGAUUUACUACCAUAUAAAAAACAGGUGGGGAUUCUCACUCAUUUUUAACAGUACUCUCUGGUCACAACAUAAAUGCAGAC